UGCUACCUGAUUCAGCGGCGGACGGGUGAGUAAUGCCUAGGAAUCUGCCCGAUAGUGGGGGACAACGUUUCGAAAGGAACGCUAAUACCGCAUACGUCCUACGGGAGAAAGUGGGGGAUCUUCGGACCUCACGCUAUCGGAUGAGCCUAGGUCGGAUUAGCUAGUUGGUGAGGUAAUGGCUCACCAAGGCGACGAUCCGUAACUGGUCUGAGAGGAUGAUCAGUCACACUGGAACUGAGACACGGUCCAGACUCCUACGGGAGGCAGCAGUGGGGAAUAUUGGACAAUGGGCGAAAGCCUGAUCCAGCCAUGCCGCGUGUGUGAAGAAGGUCUUCGGAUUGUAAAGCACUUUAAGUUGGGAGGAAGGGCAGUGAGCUAAUACCUUGCUGUUUUGACGUUACCAACAGAAUAAGCACCGGCUAACUUCGUGCCAGCAGCCGCGGUAAUGCGAAGGGUGCAAGCGUUAAUCGGAAUUACUGGGCGUAAAGCGCGCGUAGGUGGUUCAGCAAGUUGGAUGUGAAAUCCCCGGGCUCAACCUGGGAACUGCAUCCAAAACUACUGAGCUAGAGUACGGUAGAGGGUGGUGGAAUUUCCUGUGUA
rnacentral:rRNA from 1 species